AAUAAUCUCUGUGUACCGUAGACAGCAGGUGCUUAUGCUUAAAUAUCCUGCCGAGGAGAGAGGAAAAAGAUUUUUUCUGCCCCCGUAUGUCUAUGCGGGGGUUGUUUUUUUG
rnacentral:sRNA from 1 species